rnacentral:rRNA from 1 species
UACGAGGGGGGCGAGCGUUGUUCGGAAUUAUUGGGCGUAAAGGGUGCGUAGGCGGUUUGGUAAGUCUGAUGUGAAAUCUAUGGGCUCAACUCAUAGUCUGCAUCGGAAACUGCCGGGCUUGAGUAUGGGAGAGGUGAGUGGAAUUCCUGGUGUAGCGGUGAAAUGCGUAGAUAUCAGGAGGAACACCUGUGGCGAAAGCGGCUCACUGGACCAUAACUGACGCUGAUGCACGAAAAGCUAGGGGGAGCAAACAGGG